GCAGCUCAGUGGUAGAACAUGUGCUUUGCAUACAGAAGGUCCCGGGUUCAAUCCCCGGCAUCUCCA